rnacentral:tRNA from 1 species
GGGCACGUAGCUCAGCUGGUUAGAGCGCCACGUUGACAUCGUGGAGGCCACAGGUUCGAGUCCUGUCGUGCCCACCA